rnacentral:rRNA from 1 species
AUUGAACGCUGGCGGCAGGCCUAACACAUGCAAGUCGAGGGGAAGCGGCGAGCAUGCUUCUUUAUUCAGCGGCCGACGGGCGCGUAAUGCCUAGGAACCUGCCCAGCCGUCGUGGAACACGUCCGUAACCCGGCGCUAAUACCGCAUACGCCCCGUGGCAGCAAGUGGGGGCACUUCACACCUCUCGCUAACAGCUGAGCCGAGGUCGGAUUAGCUAGUUGGUGGGGUAAAGGCCUACCAAGGCGACGAUCCGUAAGUGGGCUGAGAGGAGGAUUAGGCACACUAGAACGGAGACGCGGUCCAGACUACUACGGGAGGGAGCGGAGGGGAAUAUUAGACGAUGGGAGGAAGGCUGGUCCAACCAUGCCGCGUGGGUGGAGGGGGUCUUCGGAUUGUGAAGCUCUUCUAGUUGGGAGGGGGGGCAGUGAGUUGAUACCGUGCUGCUUUGACGGUACCAAAUGAAUAAGCACCGGCUAACUUCGUG